UACGGAGGGUGCAAGCGUUAUCCGGAUUCACUGGGUUUAAAGGGUGCGUAGGUGGGAUGGUAAGUCCGUGGUGAAAUCUCUGAGCUUAACUCAGAAACUGCCAUGGAUACUAUUUGUCUUGAAUGUUGUGGAGGUAAGCGGAAUAUGUCAUGUAGCGGUGAAAUGCUUAGAUAUGACAUAGAACACCAAUUGCGAAGGCAGCUUACUACACAAAUAUUGACGCUGAGGCACGAAAGCGUGGGGAUCAAACAGG
rnacentral:rRNA from 1 species